AUUGAACGCUGGCGGCAGGCCUAACACAUGCAAGUCGAGCGGAUGACGGGAGCUUGCUCCUCGAUUCAGCGGCGGACGGGUGAGUAAUGCCUAGGAAUCUGCCUGGUAGUGGGGGACAACGUUUCGAAAGGAACGCUAAUACCGCAUACGUCCUACGGGAGAAAGCAGGGGACCUUCGGGCCUUGCGCUAUCAGAUGAGCCUAGGUCGGAUUAGCUAGUUGGUGGGGUAAUGGCUCACCAAGGCGACGAUCCGUAACUGGUCUGAGAGGAUGAUCAGUCACACUGGAACUGAGACACGGUCCAGACUCCUACGGGAGGCAGCAGUGGGGAAUAUUGGACAAUGGGCGAAAGCCUGAUCCAGCCAUGCCGCGUGUGUGAAGAAGGUCUUCGGAUUGUAAAGCACUUUAAGUUGGGAGGAAGGGCAGUAAGCUAAUACCUUGCUGUUUUGACGUUACCGACGGAAUAAGCACCGGCUAACUCUGUGCCAGCCGCCGCCGUAA
rnacentral:rRNA from 1 species